rnacentral:rRNA from 1 species
CGGGACACGUGGUAUCCUGUCUGAAUAUGGGGGGACCAUCCUCCAAGGCUAAAUACUCCUGACUGACCGAUAGUGAACCAGUACCGUGAGGGAAAGGCGAAAAGAACCCCGGCGAGGGGAGUGAAAAAGAACCUGAAACCGUGUACGUACAAGCAGUGGGAGCACGCUUAGGCGUGUGACUGCGUACCUUUUGUAUAAUGGGUCAGCGACUUAUAUUCUGUAGCAAGGUUAACCGAAUAGGGGAGCCGAAGGGAAACCGAGUCUUAACUGGGCGUUAAGUUGCAGGGUAUAGACCCGAAACCCGGUGAUCUAGCCAUGGGCAGGUUGAAGGUUGGGUAACACUAACUGGAGGACCGAACCGACUAAUGUUGAAAAAUUAGCGGAUGACUUGUGGCUGGGGGUGAAAGGCCAAUCAAACCGGGAGAUAGCUGGUUCUCCCCGAAAGCUAUUUAGGUAGCGCCUCGUGAAUUCAUCUCCGGGGGUAGAGCACUGUUUCGGCAAGGGGGUCAUCCCGACUUACCAACCCGAUGCAAACUGCGAAUACCGGAGAAUGUUAUCACGGGAGACACACGGCGGGUGCUAACGUCCGUCGUGAAGAGGGAAACAACCCAGACCGCCAGCUAAGGUCCCAAAGUCAUGGUUAAGUGGGAAACGAUGUGGGAAGGCCCAGACAGCCAGGAUGUUGGCUUAGAAGCAGCCAUCAUUUAAAGAAAGCGUAAUAGCUCACUGGUCGAGUCGGCCUGCGCGGAAGAUGUAACGGGGCUAAACCAUGCACCGAAGCUGCGGCAGCGACGCUGAUGCGUUGUUGGGUAGGGGAGCGUUCUGUAAGCCUGUGAAGGUGUGCUGUGAGGCAUGCUGGAGGUAUCAGAAGUGCGAAUGCUGACAUAAGUAACGAUAAAGCGGGUGAAAAGCCCGCUCGCCGGAAGACCAAGGGUUCCUGUCCAACGUUAAUCGGGGCAGGGUGAGUCGACCCCUAAGGCGAGGCCGAAAGGCGUAGUCGAUGGGAAACAGGUUAAUAUUCCUGUACUUGGUGUUACUGCGAAGGGGGGACGGAGAAGGCUAUGUUGGCCGGGCGACGGUUGUCCCGGUUUAAGCGUGUAGGCUGGUUUUCCAGGCAAAUCCGGAAAAUCAAGGCUGAGGCGUGAUGACGAGGCACUACGGUGCUGAAGCAACAAAUGCCCUGCUUCCAGGAAAAGCCUCUAAGCAUCAGGUAACAUCAAAUCGUACCCCAAACCGACACAGGUGGUCAGGUAGAGAAUACCAAGGCGCUUGAGAGAACUCGGGUGAAGGAACUAGGCAAAAUGGUGCCGUAACUUCGGGAGAAGGCACGCUGAUAUGUAGGUGAAGUCCCUCGCGGAUGGAGCUGAAAUCAGUCGAAGAUACCAGCUGGCUGCAACUGUUUAUUAAAAACACAGCACUGUGCAAACACGAAAGUGGACGUAUACGGUGUGACGCCUGCCCGGUGCCGGAAGGUUAAUUGAUGGGGUCAGCGCAAGCGAAGCUCUUGAUCGAAGCCCCGGUAAACGGCGGCCGUAACUAUAACGGUCCUAAGGUAGCGAAAUUCCUUGUCGGGUAAGUUCCGACCUGCACGAAUGGCGUAAUGAUGGCCAGGCUGUCUCCACCCGAGACUCAGUGAAAUUGAACUCGCUGUGAAGAUGCAGUGUACCCGCGGCAAGACGGAAAGACCCCGUGAACCUUUACUAUAGCUUGACACUGAACAUUGAGCCUUGAUGUGUAGGAUAGGUGGGAGGCUUUGAAGUGUGGACGCCAGUCUGCAUGGAGCCGACCUUGAAAUACCACCCUUUAAUGUUUGAUGUUCUAACGUUG